rnacentral:rRNA from 1 species
UACGUAGGGCGCAAGCGUUGUCCGGAAUUAUUGGGCGUAAAGAGCUCGUAGGCGGUUUGUCGCGUCUGCUGUGAAAUCCCGAGGCUCAACCUCGGGCUUGCAGUGGGUACGGGCAGACUAGAGUGCGGUAGGGGAGACUGGAAUUCCUGGUGUAGCGGUGGAGUGCGCAGAUAUCAGGAGGAACACCGAUGGCGAAGGCAGGUCUCUGGGCCGCAACUGACGCUGAGGAGCGAAAGCAUGGGGAGCGAACAGG